GAGGAAGGAGCUUUCUGCCAUGGAAGUGAGGAGAAGCCUGAAUGCAGGAGCAGCAUCUGACACUGCUGCUAGAUAAAGAAUCCCUGGAGCUGCUGCUGCUUCUCCCUAGCUGGGCUGGACAGGGCCUGAGCCAAGGCCACCACUGCUGAAACCUGUCUCGGAUCUAGAGUAAAGAUGCAGUAGAAAUGUUUGGGGGGAAAAGAAGGGACUAGGAAAAGAAGAAGAGAUUUAUGAGAUUUCAAUGGAGACUGCAAUGUCUUCUAUGACUGGUGGAGAAGUGAUUCCCAGUAACGGAAGAAUGAAGACGGG